AAGGGAGACCUAAUUCAGGUAUGGGACGAAAAAAAGUAGUCGCUACCAAGAAUCAAUCCCAAAAGGUCGGAGCGAGGUAUGAGGCUUUCAAACUAGGUUCUGGGUUCACACAAGACCUGAAUCAGGAACAAGGGCUAUUAGCUCAGGUGGUUAGAGCGCACCCCUGAUAAGGGUGAGGUCCCUGGUUCGAGUCCAGGAUGGCCCACCUGCACAGGUGGCAAAAACAAGAGAAGCGAGGAAUCAGCACCUUAUCUUAUCUAUAUAUAAGAGAGAAUGCUGGCUCUGAGUAAAGAGUCCAGAGGAACCUUGAAAACUGCAUAGAGCUAGGUGAAAAAGCCAAAAAAGAAGACCGCAA
rnacentral:tRNA from 1 species